rnacentral:rRNA from 1 species
UACAGAGGUCUCAAGCGUUUGUUCGGAUUCAUUGGGCGUAAAGGGUGCGUAGGUGGCGUGGUAAGUCGGGUGUGAAAUUUCGGAGCUUAACUCCGAAACUGCAUUCGAUACUGCUGUGCUUGAGGACUGGAGAGGAGACUGGAAUUUACGGUGUAGCAGUGAAAUGCGUAGAGAUGCGGAGGAACACCGAUGGCGAAGGCAGCCCCCCUGGGCCGACACUGACGCUCAGGCACGAAAGCGUGGGGAGCAAACAGG